rnacentral:misc_RNA from 1 species
GGAGACAGUGAACAAUCUCAUCUCUUGCACUGUCCAGAAGAUCAAAGCAGCGCUUCAGUGUGAAAGCUGAUUGAUGAUCAUGAUUCAUCAACACUAUUAAUCUCUCAAUUUUUAUCUCUUAAUUGUGUGAUUGGUGACGGGUGGCGGUGGUCAAGCGUGUGAAGAAAAGAGAGUUUGGUGAGUGAGUGAGACUAGAAAGUGAGUAUGUGGGUGUUGAGUCAAGAACGAAGCGCGCGUGGAGACUCCUUGCAUG